CUUUAAUACUAUCUCAAACUAAAGGAUAUAGAAGGUUUUCCCUUUCUCUUGCCCUGAAACCUUCUGUAUCCUUUAUUUUGAGAUAGUAUUAGAA